UGGGGGAUAUUGCACAAUGGGCGAAAGCCUGAUGCAGCGACGCCGCGUGUGGGAAGACGGUCUUCGGAUUGUAAACCACUGGCUUUGGGGACGAUAAUGACGGUACCCAAGGAGGAAGCUCCGGCUAACUUCGUGCCAGCAGCCGCGGUAAUACGAAGGGGGCAAGCGUUGUUCGGAAUUACUGGGCGUAAAGCGCACGCAGGCGGCGUGACGCGUCAGAAGUGAAAUCCCCGGGCUCAACCUGGGAACUGCUUUUGAAACGGUCAUGCUUGAAUCAUGGAGAGGGUAGCGGAAUUCCGAGUGUAGAGGUGAAAUUCGUAGAUAUUAGGAGGAACACCAGUGGCGAAGGCGACUUUCUGGACUGUAACUGACACUGAGGCUCGAAAGCUAGGGGAGCGAACG
rnacentral:rRNA from 1 species